UACGUAGGGUGCGAGCGUUUGUCCGGAAUUAUUGGGCGUAAAGAGCUCGUAGGCGGUGCGUCACGUCGGCCGUGAAAACCUGCAGCUUAACUGUGGGCGUGCGGUCGAUACGGGCAUCACUGGAGUUCGGCAGGGGAGACUGGAAUUCCUGGUGUAGCGGUGAAAUGCGCAGAUAUCGGGAAGAACACCCGUGGCGAAAGCGGCUCUCUGGGACGGUACUGACGCUGAGACGCGAAAGCGUGGGGAGCGAACAGG
rnacentral:rRNA from 1 species